UCCCCAGAAUUAUCAGUAGUAUAUUAGACAGAAAAAUUGGCAUUAUUUAGGCAUUGUCAUGUCAUCAUGGGUACUCCACAUUACAGAAUUGCCACAUAAAUUUGGUGUCCAUAAUCCAUGAGCCUGUCACAUCAUUAUCACAUAUUACAAAGUAAAAGGCUCAUAAUACAUUAGCCUCACACAUGACCUCAAUCCAAGGCUCACAAUACAUAAACCACACACAUGAGCUCAAUCCAAGGUUCACAAUACAUUAUACACGAAGUGUUGCUUCAAUUGAUUUUGUUCUUGAUGCAUUGAGCUCAGUUCCAGCUUGGAGAAGAUCCUCAUAUUUUCCAUCUUGGGCGAUAUGACCAUCCUUGAGCAUGUGCCAUGAGAAAAAUAAAGCACAAAUGAGAGACCAAGGGCCCAUUAUCCCAUGAACAUUCUAAUGAGAAAUGUUACAAAAGAUGGCAAAACUUUCAUGCAGAAUCUGUUGUAUUAUUCUCAUCAGGAAACAUGCAUAAACAACACAUCGAAUUGAACAACUUAACUUGCUGAUAAAUUUGAAACAACAUAUAUACCAUGUGCAUUAGCCUCUAAAAAGUAGUGCUUCGAUUGUAAGGAUAAUGUUAUUACCAGUAUGAAGUCAGCAGCUGGUAUGAACCCGACUUGAUGGGUUACAAGAAUUACUGUUUUGCUAGCUAGUGCCCCCAAUAUAUAAUCCCGCGACACAUAAUCAGACAUGUUAUGAAACAGAGGCACCUUUAAAGAAAAUAUGCCUCUGUCACCAAUGAUCUGUGAACGACACGAUUACCUGGCUAUGGUUGUAUGCUUCUCUUGCUCUUGCAGGUAUCGAGGUAAGAAUCUGCUUUGCUCGAGAUAUAGAAUCAGCACUGCAACAAGAUGAAGCAUCAGGUACCAAUGCUAGUAAUUCUUGAAAGUGGAUACCAAUGAUGGUUACUCAGGUUGUCAAAAUCAUGAAAUAUUAAAAUAUAACAAAUUUGUACUUAUACAUCAGGCAUAAAAAUAAGAGUUCAUUGCACUAUUAAGACAUAAACUUGCAGCGCCGGUAGAAUUCAAACAAAAACUUGCAAAAUGACUCAACCGGGCCCGUAAAAUUGCUUUGCGGGACAACAAAUUAAUUAUCACUUAAGAUGUAUUUUAAAACAGAACAGCAGAGGGUGGAGUCAUGUUGCUGCGUAAAUACAAUAAUAUAUAUAUGUUCCAUCCAUUAGGUCUCCGAUAGUUUGUAAAAUAAGAACAUUGAAUCUACUAAUUAAUCCCCUAACCUCCCAUUGUCAAACAUAACAAGUAAUUAGAGAAAUAAUUUUGUCAUGAUACUUCUUAAUACAACAUGAUUUGAGUAUACAACAUAUAUUGAUCUCAAGAAAAAAAUCUGGUUGAAAAAGAAAAUAGAACUACAAUUUAGACUGGUCAGUAUAACAUACUACCGUAGGUUGUUCCCUCUUUCCUCAUGAUGUCACGUAAAUUUCUCCCACGCACUCUCUGUAUACUCUCUGUUUCUUGUGAUUCAGAUUAAAGGGGAAUUUGUCAAAUAGGCAUAUAAAUACAUUGCUUAGAAGUUGAAAACAAUAUGUAGUUCCAUUUAAUUCUAGAAAGCUAGUACUAUAAUAUGAUAUUUGGGAAACGCUUGCCUGCUAUCAGCCGCCUCCUCUAUGUGAUGCGUGUACACGGGUCCUUUGUGUCACUACAUACAUGAGGCAUAAUCUCUAUGCCACAGAAUAUACCAUUAAUUAUCAUGGUCGAGGAUAGCAAAAUACAAACCCCAAAGUGAGAUAUAUCCAAAGAAUUUAAGCCUCUCAGUGUAAAAAAAAUCUGGCCAAAAUAUAUACUUUUUGAAAGGAAAUCAUGUCCUAAAUGAAUAGCCUGCACGCCGCACACAAUAUUAAAUGUCUCCUAAAUAUGUAGAAUAGUUAUAGCUCCUGUCGGGUGGGCAGGCGGUGCAGGUCUGUCUGGGCCAAGAAAAGGCUUCGCUGACCUCUAUUUGCAAACAAAAUUUUAAUGCAAACUUUAAUGUAGUUGCACGUUCAUGGCUGAUCAGGCAUAAAUGAAUGAUUGAGAUGGAACUAAAAUAUCAAACUAUAAUUGUUGAAUGAUUGGUAAUGCGACUCGUAAUCAGAAUAACAAAGGAGAUAAAAACAUAUGAAACUCGAUACCCUUUAGAAACAAAUGUCGCCCGCUCCUUCCUCGGCAGCUUUGUGUCAAUCUCAUCACCCACGUUCACAAGAACAACUCCCAUGUGCGACCAAAUGUGACCCGUCUCUAGCCUGCAGGCAUGCAAGUGAGAUGGAUGUUGACUUGCUCUUGCAUGAGUAGUAGACGAUCCUUAUGAAUCUUGUUCAAAUACCUCAUUGUGCCAGCUUCAUCUUGCUGUAAGUGUUUAGAGUAUACAACAAAGACUUAUUCAGGCUUUACCACAAAAGUAGAAUGCAAUUGUUAGACACAUCUAUUUUUUUGCAUAACCAGCAGGCACACCUCAUGCUUACUUCCCAUAGCAAACUCUCGUGCAGAAGCAUGUUGGGCACAUCACCUGGAAGGCACAAACAUGCAUGAAUUAGGAUAGCCUGGGUAUAUCAGCUUUUAAUUCUUUUGCAUAUAAACAUACUACUACAGUAAAGUGUGCCACUAAGGUAUAUGCGUAUAGCUACGGAUGUUUCCAGCAUACCUGAAUAUUUUGCUUGGCCAUCAACAUGUUUGAAUGACGGAACAUCUCCAGUUAACUGACAAAAGUCAUCUUAAAAAAUUACAGGGAUCUUGAAGGUAAAAAGUGGCAAGUCCACACUGAGAAAAUUUAGCAAUACACUGGAAAUACUGAUGGAUACUCAUGGACAUAAGUUCUCUAGAGUAUAUUAGUCAUUGACAUAUUAGAACCUCGCAUGAUAUUAGUCAAUUAUUAGCCAUUGAAUUUCAGGUUGUCUGUGUGGUAAAAGUAUUACCAUCUAAAAUUCCUUACAUAUGCUAAUGCAGGGCCGACCAUUGCUCUACUUGUUAACGGAUUUUAGACAAAAGCACACCAUAGAUGUUUCGGUACAGAAAGACAAAGCUCCUCCAGGUUGUACGGAUGCCUAGAAAUUUAGUAUAACAAACAAGACGUGCUCUUUUUGAAAUUUCAAAUAGCGUGGCCUCAUAGAAAAGCUCAUGCGCGUGACUGAUCAAACUGGUCAUGGCAUAAUAAGAAAGUACGCACCGUAUCGGGCUAGGAUGUUCUCAUUCUACAAGAUUUGGCCGUUGUGGAUCAGCCGAUGGUGUGGCGGCCACACCUUAGAGCUCUUGGGACGACCACCUUGAACAUCCGGACGGUGGUAACCAGGUCAGCCAC
rnacentral:lncRNA from 1 species